ACGUUCGCAGGGAGACACGAUCUCGAAGAAGCGCGCCAACGGAAGUCGUAAAUUCCUGUUACGAUUUGCUAAUCGACGCCGCGAAUCAUUCGAUCCCUUAUUUCUUUUGGGACAAUAAGGGUAGUUGAAUUAAAGAUAACGCUGCUACUAACAGGUUAUUAUAUAUUCUCACAAACCAACAACUUCGGUGUAACACAAAUGAAUGUUUGACAU